UACGUAGGGGGCAAGCGUUGUUCGGAAUUACUGGGCGUAAAGGGCGCGUAGGCGGCACAGCAAGUCGGGAGUGAAAGCCCAGGGCUCAACCCCGGAAUGGCUUUCGAAACUGCUGAGCUAGAGUACAGAAGGGGCAACCGGAAUUCCCAGUGUAGCGGUGAAAUGCGUAGAUAUUGGGAAGAACACCUGAGGCGAAGGCGGGUUGCUGGGCUGAUACUGACGCUGAGGCGCGAAAGCCAGGGGAGCAAACGGG
rnacentral:rRNA from 1 species